GCCCCCGGGGGUCCCGGGCCCCCCUUCCUUUGUUCUUCCCGCUAUUUGCAUGAGGAUUAUCUAAUGACGCAGCAAGGCUCGCCACAACGUGACCGUCGCCAUUUUUCUGUUUUUAUUCUAUCUCUGCCAUGUGAUAGAUGGGGGGGAGGGGGGGAGGUUGGAAAAGGGAGAGAGACAGGAUUAAAAAAAAAAAAAAAACUUCCGGGUCUCAUGACCGGGAAGGGAGAAAAACAAAAGGGAGACGAGACACAACUCCAGGGGAAGGGUGUGUGUGCGUGUGUGCGUGUGUGCGCGCCCUCCCCGCCUCUGCUCCGGCGGCCGGCCAGGAGCAUCCUCCCACCUGGGGACCCGGAUCGCACCGCUCGCCGUGGCGGUCGCCUGUGCCGGCCCCACGCCCGCCGCCAACGCUCUGCGAAGCUGUCAGCUCGGUCCCUCCUCGUCGCCUCCACUUGCCGGUCCACCCCAGAGCUCGCGCUCGCGUUCCGGGACGGGCAGGCCGUUCUGGGUCCCGUGUUCACGGUGGCUGAAGAGACAGUGUGUUUGGGAGCUCUGCCACGUUUUUCGACUCCGAAAGGUUGGUGAAGUGUCAGCUGUGAUUUCACCCCGCUCAACCUGGAAUCUCAUUAUCCGAGGCAGCGUUCUUAAUGAGACUGGUUUGUCCUGGAGCCUAUGAACUGGGUGAGGAGGCUGGCAGUCGAGCAGGCUGAAGAGGCUGCUGAAAAGAUGUCAGCAUCUGGACAAGAAGUGCACAUUUGCAACUUUAAAAGGCUGGAGAGUAACUGAUGCAUGCAAUUAUAUUUAUGGCUCGGAGGAGGGUCUGGGUUGUCACAGAUGAGCUCAUACACAUCCGGAAUGUUGAACUUCCCUUGCAUAGCUCAACACAAAAUGCCCAUGUUCCUUUGGAUUGGGCAGUCGAAGCUGGGAUUACUGACAGUAACAUCUACAGCCCAUGUUUUGUCCUAGGCAAUAACAGUGUGGUAGUAAUUUUAAGUGUAACCAUAUCACCUUCCAGCAAGGUGGAGACGAAGUCUACUUAUAUGUAAAGUCAUGUGCUCCCUUAAGUAAAAAGCUGAGCAGAGAAAAAAGGAACAGCACUCAAACCACCCCCCCGCCCCCAAGGAAUUGCCUCCAUAGCUCUUGUCUUCUACACAUGUGCACUCAGACGUCAUUACAGAGAAGAUCAAACUUGAGUGGUCUGGGGUGCUCCAUCGCUGUUGAUUAAAGAGAGUUCUUCUGGGCACUCCAGCAAUCUUCCAUCUCUCCCGUACACAUUUGAAAAAUGGCAGUUCCUGGUGUGUGAGAGCAUAGCCUUUGGAAUUAGGUCCUAAUCUCAGCUCUGCCAGACUAUUAGCUGUAUCAUCCUGGACAGGUUACUCAUCAGCUCUGAUUCUCAGUUACUUUACUCAUAAAAGGAGCAUAAGAACACCUAGCUCAAAGAGGAGUUUUUAGGAUUGAAAUUUAAUCAAAAUUUAAUAAAAUAUAUGUAAAGCCCCUAGCACGAUACUGGGAGCUUAAUCUUCAAAAACAAGCAGCUGUAACAAUUUUUUAAUUGUAUUUUUGUUUACCCCAUACACUUCAUAGAAUUAUUCUUUUCCUUUUGGCUUCCUGCUCUUGAAAAUUCAACGAACCUACUAUUAGUGAAAGUUCUGUGAUUACGAAGAUAAGCGAGAAUAGGUCCUGCCCUCAGGAAGUUCACCCUUCAGCCUUGGAGAAAUACCUAUAGAAGCAACUGUGCUGAUGCUGGCGGGCUGAAGGCAAGCGCCUGGGCCCUCACACUUUGUGAUGACCUGCCCUAGAAGUAUUUAACUAAGAUGUAGAUUUAUUAAUACUCAGGCAAUGGCAAAGCUUAUGGAAGCAGUUAGGAAAAUGGCCUCCCCUGAGCAAGCAAACAAAAUCUCACAUUUUCACAAAAAUGAGGAUUACUUUUAAAACUCCAUCUAAUUAGUAUAAUUCUGCAGUUUUCGAAAAUUUUCUGGUCCAGUAUAACAGGCAGCCUCUUUUUUUGCAUUUGUGUGAAAAAUAUGCCAGGUUGUACCUUUGAGGUAAUGUUGGAGAAAUGUAGUUAAUAGGAAGCACUUCUGGUUGUUAAUUAAUUAGACCACUUUAAUCAAGAACUAUUUUCUGGGAAACUUAUUCCCAGCCCUGGGUCAGGUGCUAAGGAAACAAAGAUGAUGCAGAUACAGACUUUGCCCUUCAGGAACUCAUUCCACAAAUGUUUGUUGAUCACCUACUGGGGAUGCAGUGGUAAGACGUUGAGCUUACCAGAGGGAGAUUACAUACAGAUCUUCCUCAACUUACCGUGGGGUCACAUCCUGAUAAACCCAUCGUAAGUGGAAAAUAUCAUAAGUCAAUAAUGCAUUUAGUACAUCUAAACUACCAAACGUCAUAGCUUAGCCUAGCUUACCUUAAACGUGCUCAGAACACUUACAUUAGCCUAUAGUUGGGCAAAAUCAUCUAACAGAAAGACUAUUUUAUAAUAAAGUGUUGACUAGCUCAUGCAAUUGAUUGAAUGCUAUACUGAGAGUGAAAAGGAGAAUGGCCAUGUGGGUACAGAAUGGUUGUAAGUGUGUCAGUUUUUAUCGUAUGAUCUCGGGGUUGCAGGGCACUGCAGGGGCUGCCCCUGCCCAGCAUCACAAGAGACGACCAUAUGGCACAUGGCUAGCCUGGGAAAAGAUCACAAUUCAAAAUUCGAAGUCCACUGUCUACUGAAUGCCUAUCACUUUCGCACCAUUGUAAGGUUGAAAAAUUGUAGGUGGACCCAUUGUAAUUUGGGGACUGUCUGUGAGCACAUACCUUUCCAGCUCAAGAAGUGUUUGAUUGACAGGGUUUGGGCAAGGCAAAAAUAUAUAUAUUGCCCCUCCCCCAGAAUGUUUUAUGUUCCUCAAAACAAAGAGCAACUCUUGAAAGAAUAUUCUGGACGCUACAGCCCAAGUGGACCUGGGACUCUCGCUGGCGUUAGGCGGAAUUGUGAGGAGCGAAGUUGUGUUCGAUUCCCCCAGAGCCGGGCCUAUUUGAAUAGCUUUCUGGCCUCUCAGUUCCUGUCUUUCUGAACCGUUUGGCUCUCCAAAGGACUGCCGCAAUGAGGAUUCGACAACACAAACCCAAUUAUAUGAUUUCUGUGCUUAAAAACUUUCCUGGCUCCCCAGGAUCUGCGAAGCAGGGCACACGAGACCCUUUGUGAUCUUGUGCCAUCCCGCCCUCCAGCCUCAUCCCCUGAGACCCACAUGGAGGGUUGUCAGAUCUAGUUAAUAAAGAUACAAGAUGCCCAGUGAAA